AGUGAACGCUGGCGGUAGGCCUAACACAUGCAAGUCGAACGGCAGCACAGUAAGAGCUUGCUCUUACGGGUGGCGAGUGGCGGACAGGUGAGGAAUACAUCGGAAUCUACUUUUUCGUGGGGGAUAACGUAGGGAAACUUACGCUAAUACCGCAUACGACCUACGGGUGAAAGCAGGGGAUCUUCGGACCUUGCGCGAUUGAAUGAGCCGAUGUCGGAUUAGCUAGUUGGCGGGGUAAAGGCCCACCAAGGCGACGAUCCGUAGCUGGUCUGAGAGGAUGAUCAGCCACACUGGAACUGAGACACGGUCCAGACUCCUACGGGAGGCAGCAGCGGGGAAUAUUGGACAAUGGGCGCAAGCCUGAUCCAGCCAUACCGCGUGGGUGAAGAAGGCCUUCGGGUUGUAAAGCCCUUUUGUUGGGAAAGAAAAGCAGCAGGUUAAUACCCCGCUGUUCUGACGGUACCCAAAGAAUAAGCACCGGCUAACUUCGUG
rnacentral:rRNA from 1 species